GUGAGAACUGAGUCAGCUGGGGCCCAGCUAACCUUCUCUGUGCUUGGACUAUGAAGAAUUCUUCAGCAGGACAAGAAAUGGUCUUGUAGUGUCACUUUGGGGAGUUCUGUAAGCUUGGGUCAAUGACAUCAUCUCUUUGGUUCUCAACACCACACACUAGUAAUAGUGAAGAAGACAACAAUCCAUUUCUGAAUGCUAGUAUUAGCGUCUAUCUUUCCUGAGAGUCACAGACUCCACCCAAAGCUGAAAACCAGAACUGGCCAUCUAUCUGAGCCAGCAGGAAAACAGAAAGAGCAUGAAGUUGUGUGGAGAGAAGGAGAGGAUUUUGGAGGAGUUGAGAGGGGG